AUUGAACGCUGGCGGCAUGCCUUACACAUGCAAGUCGAACGGUAACGGGCCUUCGGGUGCCGACGAGUGGCGAACGGGUGAGUAAUGCAUCGGAACGUACCUUUCAGUGGGGGAUAACGUAGCGAAAGUUACGCUAAUACCGCAUAUUCUGUGAGCAGGAAAGCAGGGGAUCGCAAGACCUUGCGCUGAUUGAGCGGCCGAUAUCAGAUUAGCUAGUUGGUGAGGUAAAGGCUCACCAAGGCGACGAUCUGUAGCGGGUCUGAGAGGAUGAUCCGCCACACUGGAACUGAGACACGGUCCAGACUCCUACGGGAGGCAGCAGUGGGGAAUUUUGGACAAUGGGGGCAACCCUGAUCCAGCCAUGCCGCGUGAGUGAAGAAGGCCUUCGGGUUGUAAACCACUUUUGUCGGGAACGAAACGGUCUGUGAUAACACCAUGGGCUAAUGACGGUACCUAGAAGAAUAAGACACCGGCGUAACUAACGUACGCACGCGACGCGACC
rnacentral:rRNA from 1 species